UGGGGAAUAUUGCACAAUGGGCGCAAGCCUGAUGCAGCGACGCCGCGUGCGGGAUGACGGCCUUCGGGUUGUAAACCGCUUUUGACUGGGAGCAAGCCCUUCGGGGUGAGUGUACCUUUCGAAUAAGCACCGGCUAACUACGUGCCAGCAGCCGCGGUAAUACGUAGGGGGCAAGCGUUAUCCGGAUUUACUGGGUGUAAAGGGAGCGUAGACGGCGCAGCAAGUCUGAUGUGAAAGGCAGGGGCUUAACCCCUGGACUGCAUUGGAAACUGCUGUGCUUGAGUGCCGGAGGGGUAAGCGGAAUUCCUAGUGUAGCGGUGAAAUGCGUAGAUAUUAGGAGGAACACCAGUGGCGAAGGCGGCUUACUGGACGGUAACUGACGGUGAGGCGCGAAAGUGUGGGGAGCAAACAGGAUUAGAUACCCUGGUAGUCCACACUGUAAACGAUGAAUACUAGGUGUGCGGGGACUGACCCCCUGCGUGCCGCAGUAAACACAAUAAGUAUUCCACCUGGGGAGUACGAUCGCAAGGUUGAAACUCAAAGGAAUUGACGGGGGCCCGCACAAGCAGUGGAGUAUGUGGUUUAAUUCGAAGCAACGCGAAGAACCUUACCAGGUCUUGACAUCCGAUGCAUAGCACAGAGAUGUGUGAAAUCCUUCGGGACAUCGAGACAGGUGGUGCAUGGUUGUCGUCAGCUCGUGUCGUGAGAUGUUGGGUUAAGUCCCGCAACGAGCGCAACCCUUAUUGCCAGUUACUACGUUAAGAGGACUCUGGCGAGACUGCCGUUGACAAAACGGAGGAAGGUGGGGAUGACGUCAAAUCAUCAUGCCCUUUAUGACCUGGGCUACACACGUACUACAAUGGCGUUAAACAAAGAGAAGCAAGACCGCGAGGUGGAGCAAAACUCAAAAACAACGUCUCAGUUCAGAUUGCAGGCUGCAACUCGCCUGCAUGAAGUCGGAAUUGCUAGUAAUCGCGGAUCAGCAUGCCGCGGUGAAUACGUUCCC
rnacentral:rRNA from 1 species